CAGCAGCCGCGGGAAUACGUAGGGUGCGAACGUUAAUCGGAAUUACUGGGCGUAAAGCGUGCGCAGGCGGUUGUGUAAGACAGGUGUGAAAUCCCCGGGCUUAACCUGGGAACUGCGCUUGUGACUGCACAGCUAGAGUAUGGCAGAGGGGGGUGGAAUUCCACGUGUAGCAGUGAAAUGCGUAGAGAUGUGGAGGAACACCGAUGGCGAAGGCAGCCCCCUGGGCCAAUACUGACGCUCAUGCACGAAAGCGUGGGGAGCAAACAGGAUUAGAUACCCCUGUAGUCCCUGUCUCUUAUAC
rnacentral:rRNA from 1 species